UACGGAGGGUGCGAGCGUUGUCCGGAAUCAUUGGGCGUAAAGGGCGCGUAGGUGGCCCGGUCAGUUCGUGGUGAAAGCGCGGGGCUCAACCCUGCGUCGGCCAUGAAUACUGCCGCGGCUGGAGCACUGUAGAGGCAGGCGGAAUUCCGGGUGUAGCGGUGGAAUGCGUAGAGAUCCGGAAGAACACCGGUGGCGAAGGCGGCCUGCUGGGCAGUUGCUGACGCUGAGGCGCGACAGCGUGGGGAGCAAACAGG
rnacentral:rRNA from 1 species